GAUCUGUCGCACCAGUAUGCCUGCCCUGCGCGAUGGGCAGUGGGAAUUGCGCGGAUUGCGCCGAGGGCCCGAGUCCAACUUCACUUCAGUGAGGAACCAGCAGCCAUGCAGGUAGUAUUUGUAAUCCAGUGCGGCCGUGGGUCCAUUCCAGCCUGCAAGGUCACCAUGCAGCCCUUACAGCCACUGCAGCAGGUUGAGGAUCUGGAGCAGCACUGCUAAAGUAAAAUAUUAAGGCUGAGACGUGUAGAUGGAAGAAAAGAAAUGAAGAUUACAGGUGGAAUAGAAGGAGCCAAGGUGAAAUAUUUAGUUUGAGAAGGAUCUGGACAGUGGAUAAGAGUUUUCCGUGGGAAUUGCAGAGGUGAAGAGAACCGGUACCGCUGCUUAACUGACUGCUCACUUUGAUUUAACUUUCUCUUCUUAGAGGCCUAGAGGUGGGGUUCUUGACGGUGAACUGCAGCUGCUGGACAUAGGUUGGGAUCUGGUCCAGGUGUUCCAUGAGCUCCUUCUUGUGGGGUCCUGCUGGCACCUGUGGAGACACACUGUGCUGGAGUACUGCAGGACACACUAAUGCAAAGUACUCGCCCUGCGUGAAGAGGUCCUGAGUGGUCUUGAGUGCCCCCUCCCCCCUCGUGAACUGGUACAUGGAGAAGGCCAUGGAGGACAUGUUUUUGGCACGCUUCACUAUGUCAUUGUCCUCAUCCUGGGUGAUCCGCUCCUCCCACUUCUCCGUCUCCUGGUCCACCUGCAAGAUGUCUCACAGGAAGCGGUCAGCAUACUCGUCCAGCCGCUCCUGGUCAGUGGCAAGGCCUGCGUUCUUGAGGGCACUGAUCAGCUCGCUCUCCUCACAUGCACCUCGUACUAACUCCUCGGCCUGGGGAAAGGAAUGCCAGUGUGAUAAUUUUAAGAAAGCUGUGAGAAUGGUCACACAGACUUUAGGUUAGAAUUGAAGAUUAUGCCAGUAAUCCUUUGAGGUUCAAAGGCCUCACAUAAAGUAGGUCCUUAUUCUAAUAGCAGUAUAGAAAAUAGACAGACACAUUACACAUUGCAAUUUUCCAGUACUGAAUAAUACAAGAACCAGUAUUUACUGAAAGGUUACUCUAUUACAGUGGUUCCCAACCUGUGGUAUGCGUACCACUAAUGGGACACGAAGGCCUUCCAGGUGGUACAUGAGCACUUUCGGGAUCAUAUUUAAAUUAAUUAAUUUUUCAGGAAAAGGAUUAUUGCCUUACACAAGAUAAUCGAUCAGCUGGUGGUGAAGAAACAGAUCCAUUCUUCACAUUGAGUUGUGUUGUUUGUUCAUUUGUGUUCUACUUUUGAAUAAAUUAAUAUUUGCUGGAA